rnacentral:rRNA from 1 species
UCCGGUGAAUACGUUCCCGGGCCUUGUACACACCGCCCGUCAAGCCGUGGAAGUUGGGAGAACCUGAAGUCGAUAACCGUAAGGAGUCGCCUAGGGUUAUACCAGUAACUAGGGCU